AAAAGAAAGAAAAAAAAAAGACACCAGGAGCUGCUGCGGGUGGAGAGGUGGGGAGGCCCUACUCCGACGGCCCCAGAGGUGUCUUCGGGACAGGAAUUGCCCAGUGCCAGUGUUAGGUGGUGUGGGGUCUGUGUGAGACAGACGGUGGGGACGACAGAGGUGGGGCCGUCUCCAAGGAAGACGCGCUGAGUCCCGACCACGAAAGAGGGCAAGCACAUGCAUGUCGCAUGUUCCAGGAAAAAUGACAUAAUCUGUUUCAUUUCGUAAUAACGAGUGACUUCUGGGUUCGUCCCCCAGUCGCUGGUCCUGGUAUCUCGAGACCCACCUUCUUCUGUCCACUUGCUCCCCGAACUCCAUAGAAUGGUCAUCCCUCCACUCCCACCGCCGUCCGCGGUGCCACAGUCACUUCUCACCUUUCGCUCUUAGACCCGGUGCAGGACUGAGCAGCUCUUCUGAGAUUCUGGGCCCCAGUCGGAUGUGG